UACGAAGGGGGCUAGCGUUGCUCGGAAUCACUGGGCGUAAAGCGCACGUAGGCGGAUCUUUAAGUCGGGGGUGAAAUCCCGGGGCUCAACCCCGGAACUGCCUUCGAUACUGAGGAUCUUGAGUCCGGGAGAGGUGAGUGGAACUGCGAGUGUAGAGGUGAAAUUCGUAGAUAUUCGCAAGAACACCAGUGGCGAAGGCGGCUCACUGGCCCGGUACUGACGCUGAGGUGCGAAAGCGUGGGGAGCAAACAGG
rnacentral:rRNA from 1 species